rnacentral:rRNA from 1 species
AACCGUAUAGGGGAGCCGUAGCGAAAGCGAGUCUUAACUGGGCGCUCAGUCUCUGGAUAUAGACCCGAAACCGGGUGAUCUAGCCAUGGGCAGGUUGAAGGUUGAGUAACAUCAACUGGAGGACCGAACCGACUAAUGUUGAAAAAUUAGCGGAUGACUUGUGGCUAGGGGUGAAAGGCCAAUCAAACUCGGAGAUAGCUGGUUCUCCCCGAAAGCUAUUUAGGUAGCGCCUCGGACGAAUACUACUGGGGGUAGAGCACUGUUAAGGCUAGGGGGUCAUCCCGACUUACCAACCCUUUGCAAACUCCGAAUACCAGUAAGUACUAUCCGGGAGACACACGGCGGGUGCUAACGUCCGUCGUGGAGAGGGAAACAACCCAGACCGCCAGCUAAGGUCCCAAAGUAUUGCUAAGUGGGAAACGAUGUGGGAAGGCUCAGACAGCUAGGAUGUUGGCUUAGAAGCAGCCAUCAUUUAAAGAAAGCGUAAUAGCUCACUAGUCGAGUCGGCCUGCGCGGAAGAUGUAACGGGGCUAAGCAAUACACCGAAGCUGCGGCAAUAUCUUUUAGAUAUUGGGUAGGGGAGCGUUCUGUAAGCCGUUGAAGGUGAAUCGUAAGGUUUGCUGGAGGUAUCAGAAGUGCGAAUGCUGACAUGAGUAACGACAAAGGGGGUGAAAAACCUCCUCGCCGGAAGACCAAGGGUUCCUGUCCAACGUUAAUCGGGGCAGGGUGAGUCGACCCCUAAGGUGAGGCCGAAAGGCGUAAUCGAUGGGAAACGGGUUAAUAUUCCCGUACUUCUGACUAUUGCGAUGGGGGGACGGAGAAGGCUAGGUGGGCCAGGCGACGGUUGUCCUGGUUCAAGUGCGUAGGCUUGAGAGUUAGGUAAAUCCGGCUCUCUCUAAGGCUGAGACACGACGUCGAGCUACUACGGUAGUGAAGUCAUUGAUGCCAUGCUUCCAGGAAAAGCCUCUAAGCUUCAGAUAGUCAGGAAUCGUACCCCAAACCGACACAGGUGGUCGGGUAGAGAAUACCAAGGCGCUUGAGAGAACUCGGGUGAAGGAACUAGGCAAAAUGGUACCGUAACUUCGGGAGAAGGUACGCUCUUGAUGGUGAAGUCCCUCGCGGAUGGAGCUGACGAGAGUCGCAGAUACCAGGUGGCUGCAACUGUUUAUUAAAAACACAGCACUGUGCAAAAUCGCAAGAUGACGUAUACGGUGUGACGCCUGCCCGGUGCCGGAAGGUUAAUUGAUGGGGUUAGCGCAAGCGAAGCUCUUGAUCGAAGCCCCGGUAAACGGCGGCCGUAACUAUAACGGUCCUAAGGUAGCGAAAUUCCUUGUCGGGUAAGUUCCGACCUGCACGAAUGGCGUAAUGAUGGCCACGCUGUCUCCACCCGAGACUCAGUGAAAUUGAAAUCGCUGUGAAGAUGCAGUGUACCCGCGGCUAGACGGAAAGACCCCGUGAACCUUUACUACAGCUUGGCACUGAACAUUGAACCUACAUGUGUAGGAUAGGUGGGAGGCUAUGAAGACGUGACGCCAGUUGCGUUGGAGCCGUCCUUGAAAUACCACCCUUGUAUGUUUGAUGUUCUAACUUAGACCCGUUAUCCGGGUUGAGGACAGUGCCUGGUGGGUAGUUUGACUGGGGCGGUCUCCUCCCAAAGAGUAACGGAGGAGCACAAAGGUGGGCUAAUCACGGUUGGACAUCGUGAGGUUAGUGCAAUGGCAUAAGCCCGCUUAACUGCGAGAAUGACGGUUCGAGCAGGUGCGAAAGCAGGUCAUAGUGAUCCGGUGGUUCUGUAUGGAAGGGCCAUCGCUCAACGGAUAAAAGGUACUCCGGGGAUAACAGGCUGAUACCGCCCAAGAGUUCAUAUCGACGGCGGUGUUUGGCACCUCGAUGUCGGCUCAUCACAUCCUGGGGCUGAAGUCGGUCCCAAGGGUAUGGCUGUUCGCCAUUUAAAGUGGUACGCGAGCUGGGUUUAGAACGUCGUGAGACAGUUCGGUCCCUAUCUGCCGUGGGCGUUGGAAGAUUGAAGGGGGCUGCUCCUAGUACGAGAGGACCGGAGUGGACGAACCUCUGGUGUUCGGGUUGUGUCGCCAGACGCAUUGCCCGGUAGCUAAGUUCGGAAUUGAUAAGCGCUGAAAGCAUCUAAGCGCGAAGCGAGCCCUGAGAUGAGUCUUCCCUGACAGUUUAACUGUCCUAAAGGGUUGUUCGAGACUAGAACGUUGAUAGGCAGGGUGUGUAAGCGUUGUGAGGCGUUGAGCUAACCUGUACUAAUUGCCCGUGAGGCUUAACCAU